GGUUUUAAUUCUUGUACUAUAGGAGUCUUAUUAAGGAAGUUGGGGCCUAAUUUGACAUGAUGGAGAUUUGGGCCUACUUUUUCUUCCAUUAGGCACAGGAUCUCUUGUUUAAUUCCUAGGUUCUUGAUCCACUUUGAGUUGAGUUUUGUGCAUGAUGAGAAAUAGAGGUUUAAUUGCAUUUUGUUACAUGUGAUUCUCAGUAUUCUAAGCACCAUUUGUUUAAGUGGCUAUCUUUUCUCCAAUAUAUGUUUUUGGUGCCUUUGUCUAAUAUAAGAUAACUGUAGUUAUGUGAGUUAGUCUCUGUGUCUUCUAUUCUGUACCAUUGAUCUACAGGUAUAUGUGGGUGCUGAUAUCAUGUCAUUUUUGUUACUAUGGCUCUAUAGUAUAAUUUAAGGUCUGGAAUAGUAAUGCCACCAGCUUCACUCUUCUUGCUAGGGAUUGCUUUAGCUAUUCUGGGUUUUUGAUUUUUCUAGAUGAAUUUCAUGAUUGCUUUUUCUACUUUUAUGAGGCAUUUCAUUGGGAUUUUCAUUGAUAUUGCAUUGAAUCUGUAUAGUGCUUUUGGUAGUAUGGUCUUUUUGACAAUAUAAAUUCUGUCUAUCCAAGAUCAAGGUAGAUCUUUCCAUCUUCUAAGGUCUUCAUUAAUUUCUUUGUUUAGCGUUCUGUAGUUUUCAUUGUAGAGGUCUUUCACCUCUAAUUGAUUCCAAGUAUUUUUUUGUAUUUUAUUUUGAGUCUAUUGUAAAUGGCAUGGUUUUCCUAGUUUCUCUUUUGAGGAUUUGUCACUGAUAUAUGGAAAUGCCUUUGAUUUAUGGGUAUUGAUUUUAAAUCCUGCUACUUUGCUGAAUUCAUUUAUUAGCUCUAGAACAUUUCUGGUAAAAUGUUUUGGGUCUUCUAGGAUAGAAUCAUAUUGUUGGCAGAUAGUGAUAUUUUAGGUUCUUCUUUUU
rnacentral:lncRNA from 1 species